AUUGGGAGUUUCUUUGCCUAAAAACAUGACAUUAUUGCCUUUUACCAUAACGUCCCAUGGGCAAGAAAAGAUCUCCACUAGCUUUAAUCUUUGGUAAACCUUGCGCGAUUGUCA
rnacentral:snRNA from 1 species